UACGAAGGGGGCUAGCGUUGUUCGGAUUUACUGGGCGUAAAGCGCACGUAGGCGGAUUGGUCAGUUAGGGGUGAAAUCCUGGAGCUCAACUCCAGAACUGCCUUUAAUACUGCCAGUCUCGAGUCCGGAAGAGGUAAGUGGAACUCCUAGUGAAGAGGUGGAAUUCGUAGAUAUUAGGAAGAACACCAGUGGCGAAGGCGGCUUACUGGUCCGGUACUGACGCUGAGGUGCGAAAGCGUGGGGAGCAAACAGG
rnacentral:rRNA from 1 species